CCAGCAGCUGCGGUAAUUCCGGCUCCAAUAGCGUAUAUUAAAGUUGUUGCAGUUAAAAAGCUCGUAGUUGAAUUUCGGGCCUGACUGUGGACUUGGUCACUUUUUACUAAGUGUACUGUCUUUUUAGUCAGGUCUUACCUUCUGGGGAACAAGUGCUCCCUUAAUUGGGUGUCGCUUGGGAUCCAGGACUUUUACUUUGAAAAAAUUAGAGUGUUUAAAGCAGGCUAUCGCUUGAAUACAUUAGCAUGGAAUAAUAGAACAGGACUUCAGUCUUGUUUCUGUUGGUUUCUCGAGACUGAGGUAAUGAUUAAUAGGGACAGUUGGGGGCAUUAGUACUGCAGUGUCAGAGGUGAAAUUCUUGGAUUUCUGCAAGACUAACUUAUGCGAAAGCAUUUGCCAAGGAUGUUUUCA
rnacentral:rRNA from 1 species